GUGCAGGAUGGAAGGGAUGGGAACUGAGAGGUUUGUCCCACACAGUGUAACUAUUGUUAGUGCUGACAUGUUUUCUCGGUUUAUUAGUAGCUAUUAUUUGUGAGUAUCCCCCGCCGUGAGUUAUUCCACAGAAAAUAGGACUGCUCGUGAGCGUUUUCCCGAUCGUCUUGCUGGGCUUCAGCGAUUCUUGUCUUUGCCUUGCCAGGUCCCUUUCUCACAACCCGGCAAGGUGUGGCCCCAUUCAUCAUCAAUCCGAGGGUCACCAUCUACCAUGCAUUGGAGCCCACCCCAUGCGGAAUUGUUGCAUUCGAUCUCGAUUUAUUUGGAGACCAGCAUUCAGGGCCAGGUAGUCAGUUCUCAUGCCUAGUAAAGUCUUUGGUUACUCGCCCUCUAAAGGGUCAGGCCCUGGUUUCAGGUGAUGAUAACAGUCGCUUGAAUUGAUUAAGGUGGCCGCGAAAGUCUUGACGGAAUCUGUAGGCCCAUUUUGUGCUCGCACCUUAAAUCGUACAAUAAAGCUAUAAGUACUUGCACAUAACGGAAUGACGCAUAGUGGAUGGUGGAUAUUUUCAUGCUGUUAAUAGUAGUGAAAAGCAGGAAGUAGCUUUCAACUCUGGACCAUGAACCACGUACAUCCCAAAAAUGCUAGGCUAGAUACAACCAAAUAGCCAAUCAAUCAAGUUCCAUGGAAAUGAUUCAACAAAUGCGGUUCCCAAAUGGUUCCCAAAAGAUUUAUCGCUGAGUAUUCAUAUAUAUCUAAUGUGGGAUGAAAAUGGAUCCAGCAGAUUAACUUCUAUUCACAGCCUCCGCAAAAGCGCUGCCCUGCCAUGGACCAGAGUCAAUUCAAGCGGAUAGUUUUUGCUCGCGCUCCAUCAGCAUCGUACGUAACCAUGACGGUGCUAUCUUCAAAUUGCAAUGCACCAGGCCAAAAAGCAUCUGCCUCCUUAACAACUUGGGGAGGACUCCAGCACAUCUUCCCAUCCUUCGGCGGGCCUGAAAACGUCGCUUUAAUGUUUGCCUUAUGCGGCCAGUUGCCCUCGAUGUCUUCAUCUGCCAUAUACACAACUAUCAAGGAUCCAUCGGCAAAGGAGGC
rnacentral:sRNA from 2 species